UUUAAUGCAAUAAUUAAAUGUUUUCAAAACCAAAAAAAUCAUUUUAUUGAAAAGAAACAACUGCUUGGGAAACAAAGGGCAUGAUACUUUAUUGCUAUUUGAGAUGAGGGAAGGACACUGGGUGAGGAACAGGACAAUCACAGAUUUGCGUAUGUCCUGUUAUCAUACUCGUCUUCCUGUCCGAAAUGCUGUGCAAUUAAUGCUGUGCUUCAGGCUGGCUAAAAUGCAUGGUGAUGUGGAUUGAGGGCAGUGGGUAAGGGUCAUAGUUUGCAGGGCUGGGUGGUGAAGCUACAGGUGUUGGAGGCAACUGGUGUAGAUAAGAACCCAGCUGUUGGGGCAAGUGGGGUGGAAGUGACAUGGGGGCACAAGGAAAAGAAUUUGGGGACAAGGGCUGUGCAGGAGUGGGCGGGAGAGGGGGGCAGAAGUUCUCUGCCUCCAUUGCUGCAAGCGCCUGUGUUGCAUCGCCUUGGCGCUCCAUGAUGCUCAGCGGUCAUUCUGUGCUUUGUGCAAUCUGCAUUCUGCUGGCGGACCCUCCUUUCACUCUCUUGACAUUCCUGCACUUUUUGAUUUUCAUUAAGGGACUUCUGUAUGACUUCAUGCAGCAUGUCCUCUUUGCUUCUUCAUGGACACUUCCUGAUUCUUCAGAGACUUUUGGUUGUUGAUAACAAGGACGGCUGGGAUCUCAAGGUUGCAUCCGUAAACCAAAAUGCAACACUUAACAGAGGCAGCAUUGUUCACACCAGACAGAGCAAUAAUUCGGCCGUACUUAAAGACAAGCACAGUGUAUACAAUAGCAGAAAUUGCCCAUCCCAGAGUGAGUGCACAUAACCUACAAGAGCCCCAAAAUGAUGAGUAAGCAUAGGGGCAAGGGGGACUGAUAGUUUCAGUACUGUCCCCUGGGGUUCUGUGCCUUGGGAAGAGCCAACAGCUGCAGGGGGCCCCUAUACUGAAGUGUCCCCACAUUUUCCACAAGAUGAGUUUGUCCUGGAAGUUCUCGCUGCUGAGGAUGACCUGGGAAGCAAGGGAGGGUCUUCUACUACAAUGCAGCAUCCGUCCUGGCCCAUAUGCAGCUUGUCUGUGUGCAGCAGUGGUGUCUUCCCCACCGUCCAGUCACGGCACAGUGGUGCGGACUUGUUAGCCUUACUGGGACAAGGAGCACAGUAGCUCUGCCAAGGAACCUGCACAAGCGAAUUGCCCAGCUUCUGCAUGAGACCUUUGAAGAGAUCACUGAGGCCAAUUACUGCAAUUUGAGAGCGCACAUCAACCCCCUAUUCCCCAUCUAGUUACGCAUGCAGCCCUAACCCUCCUUGUCCCAGGAGCCUGCACCAAACAACUUCCUUCCAAAAAUAAAAGCUGCUUACCGGGCACCUCCUCUGGUGUUCGUUCUUCCCAAAGCACCAUCUGCUGCGACUGGCUAACAGCUCCUGGCUGCAUGCAUUUAGGGAUGUCGGGCUCUCUCUCUCCUCCUCAGUACCCUCGCUCCCGCUUUCCUCCUCCUCCUGCCUUGUUGCACUGGGCUCUGAAGUGACCAUAGUGGUCUUCGGAGUGGAGGUGGGGUCACCCCCAAGUAUUGUGUCCAGCUCUUUGUAGAAACAUCAGGUCAUGGGGGCAGCAUUGGAGCGGCAGUUUGCCUUGCGGGCUUUGUGGUAGGCAUUCCACAGCGCCUUUACUUUAACCCUGCACUGCAGUGCAUCCCAGUCAUGGCCCCUUUCCAUCAUGUCCCUUGAUAUCAACCAGUCAGUUCACUUAACUGUGUCUUUUCUGAAACCCCACAAGAAACUACACUUCCUUGACCUCAGAUGUGACCUGGACUUCUACCUGCAAAGAACCAAGACCAUUAGAAUGUCUCUGAGGCCCUUUGCUUCCAUAGCAGAAUGAGCAGAGGGCUAAGCUAUAGCCUCAAAGGGAAUUACUAAAUGGGUCUUGGGAUACAUAUUGGAAUGCGGUAAAAUAGCAAAACUUACCUUUCCCAGGGUGUUAAAAUGCGCUCCAUGUGAGCGCAAGCAGCCUUUGCGGCAUCUUUAUCGGACGUCCCAUUUCAGGACAUCUGCAAAGCAGCAACUUGGCGAUCUAGCCACUCGUUGAUGGCACAGUACGCCCUGAUUCAAGCGUCAGCUGUGGUUGCAGCAGGAGGAAGGUCUGUAUUACAAACUACUCUACUAGCCUCCUUGCACCAAUAUCCACACUGAUCACUGCUUGCAAGGCACCCACAUGUAGAAUAUGCACUCGAAGGAGAAGAGGAGGUUACUUACUGUAACUGGAGGUUCUUAGUGAUGCAUGGUCCCUAUGUGUAUUCCACUGUUCACCCUUUUUCCUCUUCUUUGGCCUUAAUAACAUUGCAGUAGGACGACGAACUGGAGUGGUGUCAGCCCGCACUACCCCUUGUACUCUUGGUUGCUAGCAGAAGGGGAGAAACUGUGCAUGGGUUCGUCAAGGGAUACUGCUUGGAGAAAACUUCUGGACUCAAGCAUGUAGGAUGCAUGUGCACCUACAGGUGGAAUACAGAUAGGGACCACAACUCUCAGAGAACCUCCAGUUACGUAUAGAUCGUGAUGGAAAACAUCUCUGAUGCACUGCAUCACCAAGCGGGGGAGACAGGCCUGUCUCAUUCUGUCAGGAGACCAUCAACUCUGGACAUGGUGCUACUGACCUGGGAUAACCAGGUUACCACUUGACUGGUGUACCUCUUUCACUGAACAUCAAGGCUCACUCCACCAGAGUUCGGAGCCCCCCGGACCGGUGGCCAGGACCUGGGCAGUGUGGGUGCCACUGAAAAUCAGCUCGCAUGCUGCCUUCGACACACGUGCCAUAGGUUGCCUACCCCUGAGAUAGACCAUGUCUAAAAUGUGGAAGAGUUUUUUUCUGUGGAAGAGAAUUUUUUUUCUGGUGAAUAAACAAACUUGGAAUGAAAAUCUCAAAACUACAAAUAAAACAUUCAUUUGGCAUAGUUGGAACCUUUAUUUGAGUUUUUUCCUCUUAUAAAGUAGAAAACAAAAUGUAGUAAGCAAGCUGAUUAAGCAGACUGUGAA